GACGAACGCUGGCGGCGUGCUUAACACAUGCAAGUCGAACGGAAAGGCCCUGCUUUUGUGGGGUGCUCGAGUGGCGAACGGGUGAGUAACACGUGAGUAACCUGCCCUUGACUUUGGGAUAACUUUAGGAAACUGGGGCUAAUACCGGAUAGGAGCUUCUGCUGCAUGGUGUGGGUUGGAAAGUUUCGGCGGUUGGGGAUGGACUCGCGGCUUAUCAGCUUGUUGGUGGGGUAGUGGCUUACCAAGGCUUUGACGGGUAGCCGGCCUGAGAGGGUGACCGGCCACAUUGGGACUGAGAUACGGCCCAGACUCCUACGGGAGGCAGCAGUGGGGAAUAUUGCACAAUGGGCGGAAGCCUGAUGCAGCAACGCCGCGUGCGGGAUGACGGCCUUCGGGUUGUAAACCGCUUUCGCCUGUGACGAAGCGUGAGUGACGGUAAUGGGUAAAGAAGCACCGGCUAACUACGUG
rnacentral:rRNA from 1 species